rnacentral:rRNA from 1 species
AUUGAACGCUGGCGGAAUGCUUUACACAUGCAAGUCGAACGGCAGCACGGACUUCGGUCUGGUGGCGAGUGGCGAACGGGUGAGUAAUGUAUCGGAACGUGCCCAGUCGUGGGGGAUAACGUAGUGAAAAUUACGCUAAUACCGCAUACGAUCUAUGGAUGAAAGCGGGGGAUCGCAAGACCUCGCGUGAUUGGAGCGGCCGAUAUCAGAUUAGGUAGUUGGUGGGGUAAAGGCCCACCAAGCCAACGAUCUGUAGCUGGUCUGAGAGGACGACCAGCCACACUGGAACUGAGACACGGUCCAGACUCCUACGGGAGGCAGCAGUGGGGAAUUUUGGACAAUGGGCGAAAGCCUGAUCCAGCCAUUCCGCGUGCAGGAUGAAGGCCCUCGGGUUGUAAACCGCUUUUGUACAGAACGAAAAGGUUUCUACUAAUAUUAGGAGCUCAUGACGGUACUGUGAGAAUAAGCACCGGCUAACUACGUGCCAGCCGCCGCGGUAA